rnacentral:rRNA from 1 species
UACAGAGGGGGUAAGCGUUAUUCGGAAUUAUUGGGCGUAAAGGGCGCGUAGGCGGCCUGGCAAGUGGAAGGUGAAAUCCCUCGGCUUAACCGAGGAACUGCCCUCCAAACUGCUUGGCUUGAGUCCGGGAGAGGUGAGUGGAAUUCCCAGUGUAGCGGUGAAAUGCGUAGAUAUUGGGAGGAACACCAGUGGCGAAGGCGGCUCACUGGACCGGAACUGACGCUGAGGCGCGAAAGCGUGGGGAG